GAGUUUGAUCCUGGCUCAGGACGAACGCUGGCGGCGUGCCUAAUACAUGCAAGUAGAACGCUGACUACUUUAGCUUGCUAGAGUAGAAGGAGUUGCGAACGGGUGAGUAACGCGUAGGUAACCUGCCUACUAGCGGGGGAUAACUAUUGGAAACGAUAGCUAAUACCGCAUAACAGUGUUUAACACAUGUUAGAUGCUUGAAAGAUGCAAUUGCAUCACUAGUAGAUGGACCUGCGUUGUAUUAGCUAGUUGGUGGGGUAACGGACCACCAAGGCGACGAUACAUAGCCGACCUGAGAGGGUGAUCGGCCACACUGGGACUGAGACACGGCCCAGACUCCUACGGGAGGCAGCAGUAGGGAAUCUUCGGCAAUGGGGGCAACCCUGACCGAGCAACGCCGCGUGAGUGAAGAAGGUUUUCGGAUCGUAAAGCUCUGUUGUAAGAGAAGAACGUGUGUGAGAGUGGAAAGUUCACACAGUGACGGUAACUUACCAGAAAGGGACGGCUAACUACGUGCCAGCAGCCGCGGUAAUACGUAGGUCCCGAGCGUUGUCCGGAUUUAUUGGGCGUAAAGCGAGCGCAGGCGGUUUAAUAAGUCUGAAGUUAAAGGCAGUGGCUUAACCAUUGUUCGCUUUGGAAACUGUUAAACUUGAGUGCAGAAGGGGAGAGUGGAAUUCCAUGUGUAGCGGUGAAAUGCGUAGA
rnacentral:rRNA from 1 species